CGCCACUGUUGAUUCGGAUCCGGACGCUCUACGGGUCUAUAGUACUGUCUGGUUGUGGUUUGAACGAAUGAUGAUAAGCGAAACCACGUCUCGGUGGCAAUGCCGGUGCAAUUGUGUGGCAAUUACACACACUUUGGAACUACAAAUAAAAUAUAAAAUAAAACAUUAAAGGACGACAAGGCAAUAAAGGAAGUACUCGGUAAUUAGUCACUAAUUAAUAAUGCUUUAAUUUCAUUGGGGCAAAUAUCGAUAUCAAAAAAAGAACGACUUCCAACAAGUGUUUCCGAUGCGCUGAAAACCACCGCUUUGCUGAAUGUCGGGUCGAAAAAAAUGAAUUAUUUACAAAUAGUUUAGUGUUCACUCUAAUAGUCUGUUUGUUCAGGAAUGGCAUAUAUGUAAAGCAACAACACAUCUCCAGAAUAAUUGCCCAGAGAAGGAGAAAAAAUAAUUUUUAUAUAUUUUAUAAAUGUUAAAUAAAUGUAAUUUUAUGCUUAAGUUUUUAAAUUUUUUUUAUAGUUAUAUGUUUUUAUAGAA